UGCGUAGGGCGCAAGCGUUAUCCGGAAUUAUUGGGCGUAAAGAGCUCGUAGGCGGUGUGUCGCGUCGGCCGUGAAAACCUGGGGCUCAACUCUGGGCGUGCGGUCGAUACGGGCAUCACUUGAGUUCGGCAGGGGAGACUGGAAUUCCUGGUGUAGCGGUGAAAUGCGCAGAUAUCAGGAGGAACACCGGUGGCGAAGGCGGGUCUCUGGGCCGAUACUGACGCUGAGGAGCGAAAGCAUGGGUAGCGAACAGG
rnacentral:rRNA from 1 species